UGGGCAAUAGUAGUACUAGGAUGGGUGACCUCCUGGGAAGUCCUCGUGUUGCAUUCC
rnacentral:rRNA from 1 species